GUUCGCUCGGGGCGCGCUCCCGCCUCCCCUGGUUUUCGCUUUCGCUUUGCAGCUCCUCUGCAGAGAAACAAAGCGGCCGCGACGACUGGAGAUGCGGCGCGGUGCGGGGAGCGGAGCCUGGACCCCGGCCCCCCGCAAGCAAGGUGGCAGCAUACCCUGGGCCUCCUGGUGAUGUCGGGAGACUGGACAGCUAAGAAAGAAGAAAAUGGACUCCCUCCUCCCGGAGACUUGCCAUGAGUGCCAGAGUGUGCAGCCGCUCAGACCAAAGCACCACGGAGGAAACAUCAGGAAGCCUCAGGAAACAUCAAAAAGAAAUUAUCCAGGAGCCUUUUAGAUUGCUUAGUAAGGGUGCUUGCCACCAAGCCUGAAGACCUCAGUUUGAUCCCCAAGACCCACGUGGCGGAAGGAGAGGACCCCUUCCCCAAGUUGUCUUCUGACAUCCCACACUCACUUGGCACACUGUGCCUCCCCCCAAGUACACACUAAAUAAAUAAAUGUAAUUCUAAAACAAA